rnacentral:lncRNA from 1 species
GGCAGAGCAGCGCGGCGGGGAGCACCGGGGCACUGCUGGCUGCGGGGGUCUUAAUUGGUGCCUAGCUCUAAUUAAGGUCCGGACUUGCCGCGGGCUUGCGCCGGCCGUGUUACGCAGGGUGAGCCGUGCGUCCGCGUGUCCGCCUGUGUCCGUCCAUCUGUCCAGGACGGAUUUCCUCCUUAACGCUCGCACAGGAAAGUGAUCGGGGAGCGCCACGUGACGGCAGCGAGCAGAACCCUGCGUGGGUAAACCCUGCGUGGGUAAACCCUGCGUGGGCUCAGUGCUCCCAGCCCAGCAUCGCGGGGCUCUGCGGGAGGGGAUGCGGUGACCCUUCGUGGGCAGUGACCCUUUGUGGGUGCACCGAGUGAGGGCACCUGGGGGUUACCCCGGGGGUGUUUUAUCCCCUUCAGUCUUCAUUCUUUGUCCUGGCUGAUAGGUGCCCGCAUCUCAGCCUAAAUUGAGGCGGCGUUCAAAUGCAUUAAGUCUGACUAAAUGAGCGCUAAUGAUUUAAGCUCCUUAGCCUCCUCGAUGGAAAUUAAUAACGCUUUUGAUGCACCCGGAGGUGCGAUCAGAAACGCAGCCACGCGCUGAGCUGCUCUAUGCAAAUGUGUGGAUUGUUGUUCCGGAAAAAGGCACCGCGCGUUAUUAUUAAUUUGUUUUUUACAUCAUUCUGGAGCUAAUUGGCUGAGUGUCGUGGAGGCGCCCGGUGCUUCUACCCGGCUCUGCUGCGGUGAGUGGAAGUGGCUGGGGCAGCUGCCACGGUGAUUGAUGGUGUGAGCAACACAACCCAGCCCUUGCUCCGCUGCUGGGGAUCACCUGCAGCUUACAGGCUUUUGGUUUCCCUGGUGUUGAAAGACUGUUAGUGUCAGCGUGCAGAGUCAGCUUUAACUUUGGUGUGUUGGUGUCCCCCCACUGCCCUUUGUUACACCCUCUGGUUCCACUGGGCUCCAGCCAUCCCCUGCCUGUUGGGACUGGUGUGGUUUUCUUGCAGCCUCAGUGUUUGGGAAAGUUUGGAGAUUUGUAGGAAAAAUGUGCAGGGUGCUGUUAGUGUGCAUUGACAGCAAGAGCAGGUGGGGUUUGUGUGGGGUGGGAUGUUUGGUUCUCGCUUGGCUCCCACGGCAGGGAGCAUCGCUGCACCCGUUACUUCUUGGUCUUUGCACACAGCUGUUGGUGUAGAGCUCCUGGGAAGCUGCUUCCCUCUAUCCCAGGGAUGCAUCCUUCAGUGAAGGAUGGAGGGAUCCUGUUGUAGGGUUACAUGUGGUCCUGGCUUGCAGAGCAGCCCUCUGCAGGGCUUGCAGCUUGGUACUCAGCCCAAGGAGGAGUCACUAAGGAGAGGACAAACAGCACUUGUGGAGGACUUGGGUAAACGCAUCAAAGCAAAAAGCCUUCCAGAAGUGACUGGUUCAUUAAUGGACGUGUUGCUGCCGCGCUGUUUGCACAGCUCUGAGCUCUGUGUCCCAUGGGACACAUCCAGCACCUGUGCUGUAUCCCCUAAGAAGUGUCUCUGAGGGCCCUCUCCUCUCCAGGGGAUGCUCCUGGAGCAUCAGGAAAGGACCGCAUUCGCUCUGAGCACUUUAACCCUCAUUUCUCCAUGAGGACCUCAGGCUUGCAGCCAGCUCUUCCCAGCGGCCGUCGGAGUGGGGCAGCGCUCGCCCUGCAGUGGCUGUGAGCGGAUGUGGGGACUCCGUGGGGUGAGUCCCCUGAGAAACAGUUUCGAAAACAAUAUUUAUUCAGAAGCUGACAACGAAAGCACUGUUGGGAGCAGCACUUCCCAAGCUGCGGGGACCAGCUGCCCUGGGUUGCUCUAGCAGGGAAAUGCGCUGGGCUGGGGAAGCACCGCUGUCCCUGGGCUCUAGGGGAUUACCGAGGGGCUCCUGGGAACUCCCUGCCCACGUCAUGCCCGUGGCCCCCAGCCAUGCUGGGAGGCUCCUUCUGCCUCUUUUCCCCAGGUCCCCUGGUUGCUGAGGCUGCCACUGCCUCCCAGCCACGUCCGGCUGCACAGUGAAUGCAAGAAGUGUUUCAGCAGUUGCCAUUUCUGCAGCAGUGCUUUGGAGCAUUUAGUUUCUUGGCACGGGGUUCAAACUUAGGAGGAAAAAAAGAAAAAAAAAAAAAGCUCUGGAAAGUUAUUUAUUUAAAAUAUAUGUUUUACGGCAUUGUCUCUGAGUUUAAGAGGGCUGCUUGUUAGGAGAUCCUUAUAGCUCUGCAGGGACCUGCAGCCAGCGAGGAUGCAGGGCAAGCAUUUCUGCUGUUUUCCAUCCUGCCCAUUGCACUGCUGCAUCCUUCCUCCUUCCCCUUGUCAACCCAUGGGCAGUUCCUCCAUGGUGCUCCCUGUGCUGCAGCAGGCACUGCUGGUGUGCAGGACGGGGUCUCCCCCACGCUGGCUUUGCAUGCUGAGCUGGGAUCUCGGUUUCUAUAAUUGGCGCAGUAAUCAGAAUGGGGAUUUCAUAUUAUUAUUUUUUUUAAUCCUUUCCAUAUCCUGCAUAAGGUGAACCUUUUAAUGAGCAUCAAAGGAAGCACUGCGUGGGGAGGGCCUGUGUUAAAGGGGAUUACUCAGUCACUCAAAAAGCAUUUGGUGAAAGUAAAUGUGCAGUAAACCUUUGUUAUCCCCUACCUUGCCUUCCUUUCUUUGCACAGCCCUUCCAGCACUUCCAGCGUGGUGGGAAGCCUUAUUGUACCUUGAUGAUAGAAAUUCUUUUUUUGUGCUAAUGAGAUUUUCAGUUUCAGGAGGUCUCCAGAUCCCAACUCGUCUUUCCCACACCAUUUAUCCCACCCUUCCCUUGUUCCUCCUGUGGACUUUGGAGGGUCAUCUGUUCAUUAAACCAUUAUUUAGGCUUUGCAGCACUGGGAGGCUUUGGGGUUUCUGUUAUUUUGCUCUGCUUUACUAUGAGACCUGCAGAUUUUAGGCAGGAAGGUGAAGCGUGUCAGAACUUGGCUAGAUCCAGCUGCAUUCAGACCUGGGAUUUGGGUUCCUGCGGCAGUAUUGCUCUCGGAUGCGUCGAGACCCGGAGGGGUUUGCUGAUUCCUCAUUUGGUGGUUCAGUUUAGAGGGGAAAUCUCAAGAGAAUCCCAAAAAAUUAAGCCUGGCCCUUUUCCCAGCAAACCUGGUUAAAGUGUCGUAGUUCCCUGAAGUCUUUAUUGCCGUGCUCCAGAUGGAAAUCCAACUACUGCCUUGCUCAGAUGGGCUCUCCUGAAGUUUACUACCUUGUAGAACUCAAAAGGCCCAAAGUAGACACAAACUUUAAUUGUAUAACCACCUGCUGCCACUGUUCAUAGGAAUUACUGAUGGGUUGAGGCCUCAUGAUGAUGUGGAACAGCCUUCUUCACCUUGGGCUGUGUGGUUAUUCUCUUGGUAAUCUCUUCUAUGGGCAGUGCUACAGCAAUGUGGGUGCUGCUUGCUUUGGUGGAGGGACCCAGGUGGUGUUGAGUUGUGAACUCGUUAUGUUCCCAGCUGGGGGUAGGGCAUGCCCUUGGGGUAAAAGGCUGAUAAGCCAAAGGCUUGAUUGUGCACGUGCUCCCCAAAAGUGCAGUAUGAAGGUAAGAAGUGGGUUGGAUGCUUUGUAGGUCUGUGUUGCUGCUGGCAGCUAUGGUGUGGUCUCUGGCCAUACAAUCUGGUGAAGGUGAACCAGUGGUUGCUAUUUGUGACAGGGUACAGGGCUCACUAAUUGUAUUUGAGUGGUCCUAUGGGCUUUCAUGGGAUUUAGGAGGACCCCAUGUCUUAUGGCUGUGCAGAGGAGAGGGUCAGCCCCACUGUGUGCUGUCUGGGGGCAGUGGGGACCCCAAGGAGACACUGACCCGGAGCUGCAGGGUUUGUCACUGCCUGGUUGUGUUUCAGAGUUUUCCAUGAGGCAUCGCUGGGUCUUUAAAUAGCUGCCCACGGGUUUCCUGUGUUUCCUCCUGCACCGUAUUCAGUUUUCCUGGGUUUGUUCCCUUCUGGGGACAUUUACUAACAUCAAUUAAAAAUCUAGAAACACUGAAAGUGUAGCUAAAGUGAGGUGAAUAGAAAUAAGCAAAAAAACCCAAACAAACAAGUGAGCUUGAUGAAAUUCACACGUUUCAGUAAGCACUGGAAUAGCCCCCACCACCUGUAACACAUGAGGAGCUGCAGGAUGCUCUGUGGGCUGAGCUGUGAGCUGGGAACAGGGCAGUAAUUUGUAGGUGCCACCACAUUGUAAACCCAGUAAAACCCCUUGGAGGGUUUAUGGCUACACCAGGUGUUAGAAUCAUAGAAUUUCCAAGGUUGGAAAAGACCUCCAAGAUCAACUAGUCUGCCUACCACCAAUAUUUCUCCACUAGACCAUGUCCCCUAGUACAGCAUCUAAACGUUUCAGGAAAAAGCUGACUCUCGGAAAGGAGCAAGUUAAGGGUAAUCAGAUGGCUUGGCAUGAGGAAGGAUGCAGCCCUCAGGAGGAUGAGCAUUGAAGGAUGGAGGCGAUGCCUGGUCCUUACGGAGAUGCAGCCUCCAGGAGGUUGAGCGCUGCGUGGUGUUUCUAGAGUGGUUCUCCUUGGAAGGGCUGUUGGCAGUGAUUCCUUUUGGCAAAAGUGGAAAUACUGAAGGGAUUUCUUCAGGUGAGCUAGUGAAGUUUCCUGACGUCCCAGCUUGAGUAUUGGUCCAAACUGGAAGACUUCUGUAGGGGACAUCAGGGUAGGAAGGACAGGAUAAAGCCUUUCCGCGUGCAUUCAAGCUGACCAGAAAUCUGUUGGGCUUUUGCUUGUUUUAAAGAAGUAAAUAGAGCGUCGGUUGUGUUUGAAACAAAACUGACUUCACUUUGAAGAUGUGGAGUGUUUGACUUCUGGACAAAACAGUGCAGUGGAAGGUCAGGCCUGAACCAAGUACAGAAAUGGCUUUAUAGAUAGAUACAGAAUAACAUGAAGCUUUCUGUGUUGAAAGGGAAGUCAAACUGUGUGUUUAAUUAACUCUCCCAAACCUGCAUGCCGUGCUUAGGUAUUUCCUUCAUGAUUUUCUCAGGCUAAUAUUAACAAAACCCGUAGGGAAACUACUCUGCCCACCAUUUCACCACAGUGUUUGCAUGAGGAGAUUGGCUGGGGCACAACAGUGCGACCACUGUAGCUUGAAAGAGGAGCACGGUUCUUCUGGGAGAGAGGAUCUCUGCUGGAAGGGGUCCUGCAAGAGUUCACAACUGUUUCUGGCCAACCUCCCUUUGUGGAAGGGUUUGUGCCUCAGUUCCCACUUCUGUAAAAUGGGGUUAAAAAUAUUCUCCCUCCCUCCCAGGGUCAUUGCCACACUCCAUCCGCAGCAGUUUGUGAAGUGCCACAGAGUUUUUUCCACCAGUGUGAAAAAUGCUAAGUAGAAGUAAAUGGACGCUAUUUCUAACAACGUUCUGAGUGCUUCAUGCUGCUGUGAGUGGCUACAAAUAACCCUGAAAACUCAUUGUGGUGGAGAUUCACCAUUAUGGUUCAUGGGCACUGAAGAAACCGUUGCUUUUCAGCACUGAUGGCUCAGCAGCUACCCCAGAGUCUGCCAAAAUGGGAUCCAAUGGCCUUGGAUCUUCUUGGGCUCUAUGAGCAGACCAAAACGUGUGGGAGCUCCACCUUGAGAGCACCCAAUGGUAACAACUCUCUGCCCAUGAGUGUACUGUGCUGGUUGGUACCAUCACACAGGUAAUUAUUUUUUCAUAGAACCAUAGAAUGGCCCGGGUUGAAAAGGACCACAGUGAUCAUCUCAUUCCAACCCCCUGCUAUGUGCAGGGUCGCCAACCACCAGACCAGGCUGCCCAGAGCCACAUCCAGCCUGGCCUUGAAUGCCUGCAGGGAUGGGGCAUCCACAGCCUCCUUGGGCAACCUGUUCCAGUGCGUUUUGAGGAGCAUUCAUUAAAAUCAUUGCCUUGCUGCCUUCUCCAACCUUGCAUCAAAUGGUGUCGUUUGCGUUCAGAAAGAGCAAAAUGUGGAAGGCUGAAACCAUAAUUGCCAAACCAAACUUGUCUUCGUAACCCUUAGGCAGCUCUGUGCUGUUUUUCUGCUGAAGAAAAAGCCUGCAGUGUUGGUUUUAUUAUGCAUUAUGCAGGUUUUAGGUCUUUAAAGAAGCGAAGGGAAAGUCCCAGAUGAGGUGUUGGUUGCCUUAUGGUCUCCGUGGAAUACAGCUGCUUUUUGAUUCUGCCUGUAAUUCAUUGCCAUAGACAUGGUCUGCUACCUUCUUGUUUUGAUCUGUCAUCCACUGGUGGGGAUUUGUGCAACGUUAGGAAAUACUUUGUGUUCGUAUUUGCAUUAAUCAGAAUUAUUCAGCAGAUAGGAAAUGGUAUGCCAAAAUGUUAAAGCAGCAUUUAAAUUUUUCUAAGUAAACAGGUGUAAAGGCAGAAACGAAGGCAAUCAAGUACAUGAAGUAACAGAAAUCCUCAAAUCCCAUUCCUGCUGAACUGAGAUGAGUCUUGCUGGCAGUGUUUGUCCUGGGAGCUUCUGAGCAUGGAUGUGUCCAUUGGCUGUGUCAAACACAGAAGACAUCACAGAGAAUCAAAGCUGGAUGCUCUUCAGCUUCCCUUCCUUUCCCUUCCCUUCUUUCCUUCCCUUCUCCCUGAAAGGACAGAGGGCAGAGCAUGAAUGAGUGUGAGUGCCGUCAGGAGAGAGUUUAGAUAAGCUCUGAUAUUCACUGGUUUGCAUGGCAUCCAAAAUGGCCAUUUAGGCAAAGUAUUUUCAAUGUCAUAGCUGGGAAGCGAUGAAUACGGUCAUGGUUCCAUGUGGGAUAUGGUCCUUGAUUAUACUGCAAUUCAAGGGCAUGUUGUUGCAUGUGUGAGGGCACUCGGUGUGCCAUCAGAAAGUGAUAUUUUGAGUCAAUUCCCUUCUCUGUUUGCGUUUGCCCAGGGCGGUAUCGGCUGCCACGAGGGAUCGUCUCGCCGUGCUCCAUGGGUGUGUGCGUGUGCGAGGGGAGCGCAGGGGAUGUUUUCCAUUUAGCAGUGUUAUUUCUGGCACUGCUGCUUUUUCUGUAAUCACUGUGGAAACUGUUAUGCUUGGGGGUUCUUCAAGGAAACUCUGUAAGUACUUCUAGGGAGAAAUGUAUUAAGCAAGUGGCUGUGAUACGGGUUUCAUAAGGGCUCUCUUUACUCGGGGGCUGGAAUGGACCCAGUGCUGGUGGCAUUGAGUCACAUCCAGCUUGUUCUUGGGGUCAGGAUUUGGGGAUCAGAUCAUACUUGUCCUCUGUUUUCACAUACCGGGGGGCUGUUAUCCCUCUGACCCAGUCUAGAGGUUGGAUUAUGCCACUGCUGCAUGCAGCACAUCACCUGGUUCAGCAGCCCACCUCUGGAGGAUGCUACAAGCCUUGCAAUAAGUACAUCGACCACGGGACAAACCUCUUCUAGUCUGAACACUUGUAGUCGUUCUCAUUUACGACUUACUCACAAACAAAACCAAGCCAUCCCAUGCCAGAAACUGCACGUAUCAGAAAAGCUGGCCCCGUUUUCACGGCUUCAGGGAGCUUAUCAUUGAAAGCAAAACUCAGAGGAAAUGUGCAUGUAGAGGGGGAAGAGAAAGGGUUGUGGUGGGCAGGCGACACGGCUUGCUAGCUUUCCUGUGCUGUGUUUUAUUGGUGGUGUUUAAGAGUGCACUUUUUCACUCUUGUUUGUGGAGGGGCUGAUACCGGAAAGAGGAAAGGAGGUUUUGUCUGUGCUAUACAUAUUUGAUGUUUUACAAGCAUGCGUUUUAAUGAUUACCUUAAUAAGUUACUCAAACCCUCCUCUCACUUUAUUUUGGGAUCUCUGGAGGCAUUCUGUUUGCUUAACACUCCCGAAGUCUUUAUGGCAUUCAGCAGAGAUUUAUUACUAUUGAUUAUAUGGCACCCAGGACAGCGUCGUGCAGCAGUGUGCAGGAAUGAUGGUCCUUCCAGGAGCACUUCACCCACCAUUGGUCUGGUUAACAGGAGAGCAGAGAAAGCAAAAUGGACAGAUCCGUCCAAUUUGAUGACCUCAUCAAUUAAUUAUUAAUUGAGCUUUUAAUUUUGCAUCCAUCAUUCUUGUUCUGUCUCCCUUGCCUUCCCAGAGUAGUCGUGUGGGGAGGAAAAGCAUCACCAGAUACUUCUGGAGGGGGAUUUGCAGCUUUGGUUGGAGCAGAGCUGUGCAGCGUGUUAACCCCUCAGACUCCAGAGAGGUGCUGCCAUCAGAUUUUCAGAGCUUCUUCAUUUUAAGCCCAAAGAGCUGAGUUUCUCCCAAUACUGUGAACUGUAGGGCAGGUGAUGGUGUUAAUCCAUCCUGGCCUUGGUGCUGAUGAUGGUAUAAGUCUCUUUUUCCUCCAUUUCAUGGUCGCUGUGGACAGAGAGGAGUUGCCUCUGUUUUUCUUAGCAGUCUCUGCUCGCUCAUAGUUUGGCAUGGAAACUGCUUUUGCUGCUUCAGAGCUUCCAGCAGAUGCUUGCAGGUGCCAGGAGUGCAGUUUUUUUUUCUAGUUGCAUGGGUAGCUACGAAUGUUUGGUCUUGGUUUUGGCCUCUUUACCACUCUUUUGAAGGAUCAAGAAUGACCUCAACUGGUGGUGGGACAGUGAGAUUUCUGGGAUAGCGUCCCAAACCAGAUAGUCUGAUGCUAUGGAGCAUGAGCUCUGUGGAUGUUUCCUUCCUUGGCUAUAUUGUUUGGCUCAUAGAUUGAGCCAAUACUCUCAUGGGAUAGAUUUUCUUCAUCCCUUCCAUCUAUAGGAACUUUGCAUCCUUCUUUCCUAAAGGGAUCCUGCAUUACCCCAGUGAGCCAAACCAAACAACAUGAUCCAUGGCUGGUCUUCAGCUGUUUCUAAUAAGACAUUAGUGCUAGGAAUGGCCCCAUAGGGCUACCAUACAGGGAAAAACCUUAAAUUAACCAAACCUCCCACCACACGCCUUUUUUUGCCCCCCUCUUUCAGAUCUAUGGCAUUUUAUUGAUGAAGUGGGCUCGUCGACUCCAAAGAACCACUUUUCUCUUCAGUCCAUUUGGUGCUGUGGAGAGAGCUGAUGGGAAUCGCCACAAUAAAAUUUUAAUUAAAUGCCAGGCAAUAAUUUGCAGUGAAUAAAAUGUGGUACCUGCAGUACAUCUGUUCAGAAACCCAGAGGGCCAUUAGUGACUUUGAGAACCGGGAGAAAGACACAGGUCCACUUACCUUGUUUCUUAUUCUCUCAUUCCGGGGCCGUGAGACCUAUUAUGUUUAAUAUUUCAUAGCAGUGCAUUGUUGCCAUCCUUCCUGUGAGUCAUUUUUCCACCAGAAACCUGUGCUCGCUGUGUUAUUUAACCCCUUUAGGCGGCUGCAAGGUGGAUUGCAAGGCUUGUGCAGCAAGGCUGCGCUUUGCAUGCUGCCAGUGCAUUGCUGUGCGGUGCCAGGAAGCAAAAGCUGCUUUCAUAUGCAGCCACCUGCACUCAUAGAGACAAACACUGACGUCCCCAGAUCACCUGGAGUGAUUACCAGAUCUGAAGCUCUGCCCCAUGCUGUGCUCCUUUUGCGUUGGUACUUUUCCCUAUGUCUGAGUCUACUGCAGAUGGUGGUGAAGAUCAGCAGCAUUUCCAACCCAACAGUGCAGGGAGCUUUGUCCAGCCUUGAGAGGUUCCAGGUGAUGGGAUGACUCUUGGUGCAGAGUUUUCCCACUAUUUGUUCAUUUCUACCCUUGCUUGGCUUUGUCCCAUCCCAUGAAGGCCUGUGUGCCUGUGCAGGGACCUCUGCACUUCUCACGUUAUUGCAGCUGUGUCUUCCCCCUAAAGCAUCUCCAGUGGCUUUGCUAUAUGAGACACUGAGCUCUUUUCCAGGUUUGAGUUUAAGAAAAUGACUCGCUGAUGGUUUUUGGGAAUUCCUCAUGUUUUCUCUUGGUUUCUGACCUGGGAACCUUGAACUAUGCACAGUUAUACACUGUUUUUCUGUCUUUCGGCAGAGCUCCUGCUAUGCAAACUGAUAGGUUUGAGGCCAAAAAUACACGCAAGUUUCAUUUAAAUAACAGUAGUGGAAACUUUCUAUGGAAAGAAGACACCCCCCCCAAAAAAUGCCCCUGAAAGAACAAAGUAAUUGCCUUACAGAAAGACUUCCUUUUGCUGCACCGUUUUCCGUUUACAUCAGCCGUUUGUCUCCUCUGGGUUGUGCAGUUGUGGUUCUUUGGUGUGUCAUCCAGCAAAGCACAGCAGAACUUCUGUGCACAGAAGAAAAGUGUUACUUUUUUCUCUGUCAUAAGGAAAAAUAAAAAGCAGCCAACUAACCAGCCCAGCCGUGCUCUGUACAAAUAGGGUCCGUGAGAGGAGUGGAACAGAAAAAUGCCUAUCAGCCCUGAGUGCGGUGCUGAAGGUUAUGCUUUUGUGUUGUCCUUCAGAUGGGAAGGUUAAAGGAUGUGAGCGGUAGCACACAGCAAUUGCAAAUAUAUGGGAGCUUCUUGAGCAGCGAGAUGAACCUACUGUGGCAUUUCAGCACAUACAAUGCAGAGAUGUUCUUUGACCAAAAUCAGGCAAGGGUCUUUUAGCCUGGUGGGCCUAGGACAUGAGUCUGGCCAUCUUAUUGUUUUUGCUCACAAUAGCUACCUACGUGACGCAGACCAAAGUGUUCUGCAAGGAGAAUGUUUUAUUUUUUACCCUCUUUCCUAUCACUGAUUUUUGUCUCAAGUCCCAUGAACUGGUGGUUCAAUCUCAGUUCAGUCUUGCCCCACUUCCUUUGGUUCAGCAGAGUGCUUUUGCUCUGCAGAUGUGUCAAGAAGUGCAUACCAAUGCCUCUCUUUGCUUCUUUGUUCAUCCUUCCUGAUGAAGGCAAUGGUCAUGCUUUUUAAUGCCUUGAAAAACUUCUAAAACACCAUACUGACGUAAAAUAAAACCAACAAGCACCAGAGAUGUGCCGCAUGAAUCAUUUUCUUGUUGUUGUUGAUAGGGCUGAUUGAAGGAUGACUGAAUAGUUGGAGGAACUUCUGUAGACACUAUGUCAUGCUUGACAGCAGAAGAUUUCUUUUGAGAACACAGCAUUUUAAUGUGUACACAAAACCUGAGCAAAGAGGGUGGGCUGAUGAUGUCCUGUGGGUCUUCAAGUGAAGCCAUGGCCGUAGCAGCGCUACCUGGCGAAGUCUGAGCUGGAUACUCUAGGGAGUGUAUCCAACCCUUCCACACCACCUUUGCCUUGAACACACUUGAUAUGGAUGGCAGUAGCCCAGUGGGUGAGAAAGACAAGUCCUUGUAGUUGUCUUGGUCAUACAGUGUACCUGAGAGUUCGUAGCUCAGUUGAUGAGUGACCUGAAUCAAGGUCCCUUCCAACCCAACCAUUCCAUGGUUCUAUGACCUUUAAGGUCCCUUCCAACCCAACCAUUCCAUGGUUCUAUGACCUUUAAGGUUCCUUCCAAACCAACCAUUCCAUGGUUCUGUGAUUCUAUGACCUCACGAGAAUAUGGAACCUAGUAAGAUCAGAGGUUUAAAUUUGGAGGGGAAUCCAGAGAAAGUUUCUUUUCAGCUGCUUAUCACUGAUUUCAGAGCUCCAUAUAUUGCUGAACUUAUUUUUUCAUUUUUUCUCCUUGCUGGUGGCUUGUAGGAUCUUUUGCUAGAAGUGCAGCUCAUUUACCUCAGACCACAGCUUCAGACUGUUGUAUGAUUUCAUGCUUCUCCCCUAGGAAUGUGAAAAUAAACAGAGAGGAUGGAUUUAUAAGGGGCACGUGGAAAACAAAGAACCAACCUGAGGAGAUGGUCUGCAUUUCCCCAAAACAGGGAUUUGUGCUUAAGGGCAAACUGGUUUCUCCUGGGAUUGGCACCUCCCCACGGGUGGAGGGUGUUAGCCCAAGUCAGCAGUAUGGUCAGCCCACCAUUAGUUUAAUUCCCUACAAGAUGACAAGAAAGUCCUCGUUAGACAUGAUCUUAAUCUUGACACUGAUGUUAAUUAGCCCUGAUUCAUUGUUAGAAGAGUAUGGAGCCAGGCAGGAAAUGAGCAAAAAGCAUUACUGGGGGGAAAAAUCUCUGAUUUCACACUUCAGGGUGUAGGGAGGGGAAGCUUUGAAGUUGCUGUGUUCUUGCUGCAGUAUAAUAUAUUAACAUUUUGGUUUUGGCUCAUGAAGUACUCUUUUACCUCACCCUCAGAAGCAUCGGAUGUAAUUAAGCUCAGAAGCAAUGGUUCUUUCCAGCUCUUUCCUGUCAGCUGGGUGAAAUAGCACAGAAAUGGUGGAUUUUUUUAAUAUAAAGUUUUUCCUCUUAGUGGAGCAAUAGCAGCGACAGAAAUCCACUAAGCCAGGGCUGCAUCACCCCUGAGAAGCAGAGCAUCGCUAGUUCUUGUUCAGUGCUGCUGCACAGAGACCUGAGGUGCUUUCAGUUUCUCAUUUAAUGGGCAGCAUCAGGACCUGUGUGUCUGCUCGGGAUGCAGCACUGCUGGGGAGAUGAGAUGUCCCACCGGCAGCAACGCAGAGCUGCAGCUCUGUUCAGAAAGCAGCGAUCAAUGAUUGGUAAUGGCCGUGAGCCAUUGCAAAGGAGGUUUGCAGAUAUCUCUAUGCUGGAGCAGUUGUGUGAUUUACAAAGUUGCUUUCAACCUCAAAUAGAGAUUUUUUUUUUUCAUAUUUGCAGGCUUUUUCUUUUUUCUAGGUUUUGCAAGCAUUUAUUUAACACAAAAGCAAGGCCUUUCCCUGCAUGAAGGCAC